rfam:Triticum urartu cultivar G1812 contig1013625, whole genome shotgun sequence.
GUAUUACUCCCUCCAUCCGAAAAUACUUGUCAUCAAAAUGGAUAAAAAUAGAUGUAUCUAAAACUAAAAUACGUCUAGAUACAUCUCUUUUAUUUUGAUGACAAAUAUUUCCAAACAGAGGGAGUAUGUA